rnacentral:rRNA from 1 species
UGGGGAAUAUUGGACAAUGGGCGAAAGCCUGAUCCAGCCAUGCCGCGUGUGUGAAGAAGGUCUUCGGAUUGUAAAGCACUUUAAGUUGGGAGGAAGGGCAUUAACCUAAUACGUUAGUGUUUUGACGUUACCGACAGAAUAAGCACCGGCUAACUCUGUGCCAGCAGCCGCGGUAAUACAGAGGGUGCAAGCGUUAAUCGGAAUUACUGGGCGUAAAGCGCGCGUAGGUGGUUUGUUAAGUUGGAUGUGAAAUCCCCGGGCUCAACCUGGGAACUGCAUUCAAAACUGACUGACUAAAGUAUGGUAGAGGGUGGUGGAAUUUCCUGUGUAGCGGUGAAAUGCGUAGAUAUAGGAAGGAACACCAGUGGCGAAGGCGACCACCUGGACUAAUACUGACACUGAGGUGCGAAAGCGUGGGGAGCAAACA